rnacentral:rRNA from 1 species
AGUCACUGACAUUAGAUACCCCCGGUAGUCCAGGGUGUAAACGCUGCAGACUUGGUGUUGGAGGCCCUUUGGGGGCAUUCAGUGCCGGAGAGAAGUUGUUAAGUCUGCUACUUGGGGAGUACGUCCGCAAGGAUGAAACUUAAAGGAAUUGGCGGGGGAGCAUCGCAACGGGAGGAGCGUGCGGUUUAAUUGGAUUCAACACCGUAAAACUCACCAGGGAAGACUGUUACAUGAAGGCCGAGAUGAAGACUCUGCUAGAUUUUCAG